CCUACGGGAGGCAGCAGUGAGGAAUAUUGGUCAAUGGCCGAGAGGCUGAACCAGCCAAGUCGCGUGAGGGAAGACGGCCCUACGGGUUGUCAACCUCUUUUGUCGGGGAGCAAAGCGAGUCACGUGUGAAUCAUUGAGAGUACCCGAAGAAAAAGCAUCGGCUAACUCCGUGCCAGCCGCCGCGGUAAUACGGAGGAUGCGAGCGUUAUCCGGAUUUAUUGGGUUUAAAGGGUGCGCAGGCGGAGGUGCAAGUCAGCGGUCAAAUUGCGGGGCUCAACCCCGUACUGCCGUUGAAACUGCAUCCCUUGAGUGCGCGAGAAUGAUGCGGAAUGCGUGGUGGAGCGGUGAAAUGCAGAGAUAUCACGCAGAACUCCGAUUGCGAAGGCAGCAUACCGGCGCGCAACUGACGCUCAUGCACGAAAGCGUGGGUAUCGAACAGGAUUAGAUACCCUAGUAGUC
rnacentral:rRNA from 1 species